UUACUUCAAUUGGUCAACACUGUUAUGAUCUUGCUGAUCAAGCCUUUGUCACUUGUCAAAUUCACUUGCUUCUUCGGUGUGAGAACAAUUUGCAUUGUUAUCCAAACAUGGACAGAACUGCUGAGAGCUGCUAUGGGUUUUCAUGCCAGAUUACUCUGGAAACUGACAAUUUGGGCUAUUGCUGUUCUAUCCCUGCCUAUACGAAGUUUAACUGCUCUACAAAGGGAAAGGGCGCUGGA
rnacentral:misc_RNA from 1 species